GACGAACGCUGGCGGCGUGCUUAACACAUGCAAGUCGAACGGAAAGGCCCUGCUUUUGUGGGGUGCUCGAGUGGCGAACGGGUGAGUAACACGUGAGUAACCUGCCCUCGACUUUGGGAUAACUUCAGGAAACUGGGGCUAAUACCGGAUAGGAGCUCCUGCUGCAUGGUGGGGGUUGGAAAGUUUCGGCGGUUGGGGAUGGACUCGCGGCUUAUCAGCUUGUUGGUGGGGUAGUGGCUUACCAAGGCUUUGACGGGUAGCCGGCCUGAGAGGGUGACCGGCCACAUUGGGACUGAGAUACGGCCCAGACUCCUACGGGAGGCAGCAGUGGGGAAUAUUGCACAGUGGGCGGAAGCCUGAUGCGGCGGCGCCGCGUGCGUGAUGACGGCCUUUGGGUUGUGAACCGCUUUCGCCUGUGACGAAGCGUGAGUGACGGUAAUGGGUAAAGAAGCACCGGCUAACUACGUG
rnacentral:rRNA from 1 species